CCAGAUGAAGGAAAAGACCAUCCUUACUGCGCCAGUCUCUCAAAUGCCUCAUGCUGCUUGAACUGGGUGGAUGCUUGUUGGAGCUUUAACGAGCAUCAUCUCGCAAACUUCUGAAGUUUUGGGUCCUUCCUCCACAAAAUUUGCUCAUUGACUCUUCUUUCACUUAGUUGUCAUAUCCAAGUAGGUUCGCAUCACUUCCGCUUUCGAUUGGCAUUUCGUUGGGAAAUGAAGCGGAAAAUCUACUCUCAGUAGCACUGAUCACCGUUGGUGAGGAUUUGACAACUAUUGUCUUUCAUUAUCUUCGAAGGGUCUUUGAACUUGUGCAGAGCUCCUUUGCUGGAUAGAUAAGAGAAUUGGGGUACUCGGUUUCGCCCAUUCUCUUGAGAGUUGAGAAGGCAAAGGUUACUUGACUUCGCCCGCCUCCUCGAGGUUGUACUCCAUGCAUCGAGCUGGUUACUGGUCUUCGCCUACUCUUUGCUCACACUUCUGAAGCACUUGAAGUGUUUGCACUCCUUGCGUUGAGUUAGCUACUGUGAUUCACCUUCUCAAUGCCAUCGAACUUCUGGAAUGCAAGAAGUUUUCACCCCAACUUGGAGUAAUUCUCUCAUAGGUUUGGUCGCCUCUGGGAUUGUACCGUCUUCUCCAUCAACCCUGCCGCCUACUCCGCUGAGUAGCAAAGGUACAGCACCGCGUACUGCCUGCUUCGUUCCUUG
rnacentral:lncRNA from 1 species